rfam:Paxillus rubicundulus Ve08.2h10 scaffold_597_c1, whole genome shotgun sequence.
GGACUGGUAGCUCAGUUGGAAGAGCGCUGCUGUACUAUGCCAGAGGCCACAGGUUCAAUCCCUGUCUAGUCCA